rnacentral:rRNA from 1 species
AUUGAACGCUGGCGGCAGGCCUAACACAUGCAAGUCGAACGAGUGGCGGACGGGUGAGUAAUGUCUGGGAAACUGCCUGAUGGAGGGGGAUAACUACUGGAAACGGUAGCUAAUACCGCAUACCAUCAGAUGUGCCCAGGUGGGAUUAGCUAGUUGGUGGGGUAACGGCUCACCAAGGCGACGAUCCCUAGCUGGUCUGAGAGGAUGACCGGCCACACUGGGACUGAGACACGGUCCAGACUCCUACGGGAGGCAGCAGUGGGGAAUAUUGCACAAUGGGCGAAAGCCUGAUGGAGCCAUGCCGCGUGAAUGAAGAAGGCCUUCGGAUUGUAAAGCUCUUUCAGCGGGGAGGCGUUACCCGCAGAAAAAGCACCGGCUAACUCCGUGCCAGCCGCCGCGGUAAUAC